rnacentral:rRNA from 1 species
GACGAACGCUGGCGGCGUGCCUAAUACAUGCAAGUUGAGCGCUGAAGGUUGGUACUUGUACCAACUGGAUGAGCAGCGAACGGGUGAGUAACGCGUGGGGAAUCUGCCUUUGAGCGGGGGACAACAUUUGGAAACGAAUGCUAAUACCGCAUAAAAACUUUAAACACAAGUUUUAAGUUUGAAAGAUGCAAUUGCAUCACUCAAAGAUGAUCCCGCGUUGUAUUAGCUAGUUGGUGAGGUAAAGGCUCACCAAGGCGAUGAUACAUAGCCGACCUGAGAGGGUGAUCGGCCACAUUGGGACUGAGACACGGCCCAAACUCCUACGGGAGGCAGCAGUAGGGAAUCUUCGGCAAUGGACGAAAGUCUGACCGAGCAACGCUGCGUGAGUGAAGAAGGUUUUCGGAUCGUAAAACUCUGUUGGUAGAGAAGAACGUUGGUGAGAGUGGAAAGCUCAUCAAGUGACGGUAACUACACAGAAAGGGACGGCUAACUACGUG